AGGCAAGCGAUGAAGGGCACAUGGUGGAUGCCUUGGCACCAGGAGCCGACGAAGGACGUGGGAGCCUGCGAUAAGCCUCGGGGAGCCGGCAACCAGGCAGUGAUCCGAGGAUCUCCGAAUGGGGAAACCCGGCCGGAAUCAUGUCCGGUCGCCCCUGCCGCGAACACAUAGGGCAGUGGGUGGAAACGCGGCGAAGUGAAACAUCUCAGUAGCCGCAGGAAGAGAAAGCAACCGCGAUUCCCCCAGUAGUGGCGAGCGAACGGGGAAGAGGCCAAACCGGUCACGUGCCAAGCCGGUGGGCGUUGCGUGGCCGGGGUAGCGGGACCAUCCGGCCGGAGCCACCGCUCCGGCGGGGAGUGAGAAAUCGCCGAGAUAGCCGAAGGUCUCUGGAAAGGGCCGGCGCAGACGGUGACACCCCGGUAGGCGAAAUCGAGGCGACUCCCGGAUGUGCUUCCCAAGUAGCGCGGGGCACGUGGAAUCCCGCGUGAAUCACGGAGGACCACCUCCCAAGCCUGAAUACUCCCUGGUGACCGAUAGCGGAUGAGUACCGUGAGGGAAAGGUGAAAAGUACCCCGGGAGGGGAGUGAAAGAGCACCUGAAACCGUGUGCCUACAAACCGUCAGAGCCCGUCACGGGUGAUGGCGUGCCUUUUGAAGAAUGAGCCUCCGAGUUUACGUCCGUGGCGAGGUUAACCCGUGCGGGGUAGCCGUAGCGAAAGCGAGUCCCAACUGGGCGUCGGCAGUCGCGGGCGUAAGACCCGAAGCCGGGUGAUCUACCCGUGGGCAGGGUGAAGCUCGGGUAAGACCGAGUGGAGGCCCGAACCCACCAGGGUUGAAAACCUGGGGGAUGACCUGCGGGUAGGGGUGAAAGGCCAAUCAAACUCGGUGAUAGCUGGUUCUCCCCGAAAUGCAUUUAGGUGCAGCGUCGCGCGUUCACUUCCCGGAGGUAGAGCUACUGGAUGGCCGAGGGGGCUCACCGGCUUACCGAAGUCAGCCAAACUCCGAAUGCCGGGAAGCGGCAGCGCCGGCAGUGAGACUGCGGGGGAUAAGCUUCGUGGUCGAGAGGGAAACAGCCCAGAUCGCCGGCUAAGGCCCCGAAGUGUGUGCUUAGUGGGAAAGGAUGUCAAGCUGCAGAGACAGCCAGGAGGUUGGCUUAGAAGCAGCCAUCCUUGAAAGAGUGCGUAAUAGCUCACUGGUCGAGUGGCUCGGCGCCGACAAUGUAGCGGGGCUCAAGCACACCGCCGAAGCCGUGGGACUCACGCGCACGCGUGGGUCGGUAGGGGAGCGUCGCGCGGCGGCAGAAGCGGCGGGGCAACCCAGUCGUGGACGCCGUGCGAGUGAGAAUGGAGGCAUGAGUAGCGAAAGAGGAGUGAGAAUCUCCUCCGCCGGAUGACCAAGGGUUCCUGGGCCAGGCUCAUCCGCCCAGGGUAAGUCGGGACCUAAGGCGAGGCCGACAGGCGUAGCCGAUGGACAACGGGUUGAUAUUCCCGUACCCGCCGCAGCGCGCGUGCAGCGAUGGGGUGACGCAGAGGGGUAGCCCAGCCCGGGCGUUGGUUGUCCCGGGGUAACGGUGUAGGGCGGUGCGCAGGAAAAUCCGUGCACCACGAGCCUGAGACCGGAUGCCGAGCCGACGAGGCCAAGUGGGUGAUCCCGUACUGACGAGAAAAGCCUCUAGUGAGCGCUACGGCGGCCCGUACCCCAAACCGACACAGGUGGUCAGGUAGAGAAUACCGAGGCGAGCGGGCAAACCGCGGUCAAGGAACUCGGCAAAAUGUCCCCGUAACUUCGGGAGAAGGGGAGCCGGGCGGGGUGAACGCCCACGCGGCGGGAGCUCCGGCCGGUCGCAGAGAAUCAGGCCAAGCGACUGUUUACUAAAAACACAGGUCCGUGCGAAGUCGCAAGACGAGGUAUACGGACUGACGCCUGCCCGGUGCCGGAACGUUAAGGGGACCGGUUAGCCCCUCGGGGCGAAGCUGGAAACCUAAGCGCCGGUAAACGGCGGUGGUAACUAUAACCAUCCUAAGGUAGCGAAAUUCCUUGUCGGGUAAGUUCCGACCUGCACGAAUGGCGUAACGACUUGGUCGCUGUCUCGACCGCGGACCCGGCGAAAUUGCAGUGCGAGUAAAGAUGCUCGCUACGUGCGGCAGGACGGAAAGACCCCGGGACCUUUACUGCAGCUUGGUAUUGGUGCUUGGGGCGGCUUGUGUAGGAUAGGUGGGAGGCUGUGAAGCCGGGACGCCAGUCCUGGUGGAGCCAUUGGUGAAAUACCACUCUGGCCGUCUUGGGUGCCUAACCUCGGUCCGUGACCCGGAUCAGGAACAGUGCCUGGUGGGCAGUUCAACUGGGGCGGUUGCCUCCCAAAGGGUAACGGAGGCGCCCAAAGGUUCCCUCAGCCUGGUUGGAAAUCAGGCGUCGAGUGUAAGUGCACAAGGGGGCUUGACUGCGAGACUGACGGGUCGAGCAGGUGCGAAAGCAGGGACUAGUGAUCCGGCGGUGGCAGGUGGAAGCGCCGUCGCUCAACGGAUAAAAGGUACCCCGGGGAUAACAGGCUGAUCUUGCCCAAGAGUCCAUAUCGACGGCAUGGUUUGGCACCUCGAUGUCGGCUCGUCGCAUCCUGGGGCUGGAGUAGGUCCCAAGGGUUGGGCUGUUCGCCCAUUAAAGCGGCACGCGAGCUGGGUUUAGAACGUCGUGAGACAGUUCGGUCCCUAUCCGCCGCACGCGCCGGAGACCUGAGGGGGGCCGCCCCUAGUACGAGAGGACCGGGGCGGACGAACCUCUGGUGCGCCAGUUGUUCCGCCAGGAGCACUGCUGGUUGGCCACGUUCGGAUGGGAUAACCGCUGAAGGCAUCUAAGCGGGAAGCUCGCCCCAAGAUGAGGUCUCCCACCGGGACAACCGGGUAAGGCCCCCAGCAGACAACUGGGUUGAUAGGCCGGAGGUGGAAGCACGGCAACGUGUGGAGCCGACCGGUACUAACAGGCCGAGGGCUUGCCUUCACC
rnacentral:rRNA from 1 species